GAGAUUGAGUGGAUCUAGAGCUUUCCGAUGCUAAAACAAGUUGAAAGGGAGGAACAUGGCAUCGCUCUUCAUCAAUCAUCGGAUCCCGAUCAGAUCUUGAUCGAAGGGCCAAGAUCGAAGGAGAAGAACAGUUGGAAAAAAAGCAUGAACCUCAAACCAGUUCAAUUCUCCAAAUAAAAACCCACUUGACAGAAAGAACUC
rnacentral:lncRNA from 1 species